AGCCCCUUAGAUGAAUUGGUAUAGUCACCUGACUUAGGAUCAGGCCUUAAUUGGGUGUGGGUUCGAGUCCCACAGGGGCUA
rnacentral:tRNA from 1 species